UACCAGACACUCGUCUUCCCCAGCCUGAAACUCACCGAGGCCGUCAGUGGUGUAGAGCGUAACAACUCGAGUUGGUUUGUGAAAUUUGUAUCCGAAUACGCGGUUACUACGCAUCAUAAAUUCACCUUUAGUCCAUUCCGAAAUUUCAUGGAGAAAACUUGUCAAACGGAUGUGUCCGAAAGGUUUUCUCUGCGCCGUAGUCAGGCUAUCCGCCAUCCUGUUGCUCACCCCGGCAUCUGGCGAUUUAGGGGAGGAUAAACCAUCCAUGCUCAUGUAGCUCAUGUUUCCCUUUCUGCUAGUGCAUGUAGAACACACCGACCCCAUUUAUAUACUGCUCAUGAAUGUAAUGGGAGUGGGACGCACACACACACACACACACACACAUAACCAUAUAACUGGGACAAAGUUCAAACAACCUAACUGGGACAAAGUUCAAACAACCUAACUUGGACAAAGUUCAAACAACCGGCAAAUAGCUUCUGUCAAAACCACAUGAUCGAUGCCUGGGGAGGGGUCAUAGGUUAACCCAUGAACUCAUUCGGAAAGUUCAAACCAUCCAUCAUAAGGUCACCGGAAGUUCAACCUGUCAAAAGGUCAAAGGUCAAAGUCGUAAAUCAUCUUGACACAAGCUGUAUCAUAAUCACUACUUAUAUAUAUUAGUAUUAUAAUUAUAAGUAGUAUAACUACUGAACAUUUAAAGAUUUAAACGACCUAUGAUGUAAAUGUAGACAGUUUCCUGUCAGCUGUUAAUUUGUUGUAGCUCAGAGCCCUGUUUCUCUGUCUAAUUUCAGCACCCAGCCUGCAUAUCACAAAUUUCUUGAUGGAGAUCGAUUCUAUGAGGCUGGCAUGUUCUGGAUGGGUGCUGAGGAGGCUAUUGAAAGCACCCAGAGUCUCUAGAGUCAUCUCCAAAUGGUUGGUGAUGUUGGAGUGAGGCCAGAAGGUGUUGAUGUGAACUCCCCCUCCAACAGCUGGAUGGCCUCAAAAUACUCCUCUGACGGCCUCAUCAGGUUGGCAGCCGGUGUAUAUUUUUUGGCCGUCAGGAAAGGGUGCUCGGCGUUCGCAGCACAUCUGUGGUCCUGGUGUCUAGGACCCAACAGCAGGAUUUUGCAGUGAGGACAUGCCCUCACUGUUGCAUCCUGAUGAAGCAUUCGGACUACCCAGCCAGCAACAUAAAAGAGGCCCUCCUCUAGGAUGCAAUCACCAACAGUCUAAAAAGUCAACAUCCAUUGGUUCUGCUUUGGGUGAAAGAGGCAGGGCCAAUGAGGUGGUCGGAGGCAUCAGCAGACCUGUGGUUGCUGAGGUCGAGGGAGUCGCCCCAUCGGAUGAGGUAGUCAGAAGUGUGACUCCAUCAUCCACCUCACAAUUGGAUGUGAAUGAAGAGAGGGCAGGCAGAAUGUUGGACACACUCAGUCCCCUGAGAGCAGCGGUGAACUCCCGUGCACUGGGGUUAUAUUUGUGCCCACCUUUUCCCCGGACCAAGGAGAAGUGAUUCUACCCAAAAACAAAAGGGGGAGAAAAAUUACCUGGAGUUCAGGACAUCGAAAAGGCGAUUUAUUCUGGCAAUAAAUUCGGCAGUGUCUUUUGCUUCUGCCAGCAGCCUCUUCAGUGACACCAUUGCUGAAAUGCCUGGGUCACAACAGAUGUGAGAACUUAAUAGGAGACCAUAUUUGAAGAGGUUGUUCCUGAUGGACUUCAGUAGGGGUGGGACAUCGAAGACCACAGGAACCCUCUGAACACCUACCAGAAUGCAGUGGGAAUCCUCGCCACCCAGCGGGUCCAGGGUGGCCCCAAGUAGGUGCAAAGCCUUGAUGUUAGUCGUUGCCUGGUCACAUAUUACUGCCUGCACCUUGAAAAUAGGUUCCGAAUGGCAUCCUUAAUGAUGCUGGCGAUUUCCACGGCUGCCAUAGAACCAGGGGAGAAGAAAUAACCCAUGGCCUGUUGAAGGACAAAGUUUUAGGGGUCAUGGUGGAGGUGAUCACUCCCAUUUGGGAAAUGAUUCCUUGCAGGAAGCCUGGCUGUUGGAACAAGAAAGUAAGUUAAAUUAACAGU